GACGAACGCUGGCGGCGUGCUUAACACAUGCAAGUCGAACGAUGAAGAAGAGAAACGCGAACUUCGGUUCAAAUUUCACUUCGGAUUAGUGGCAGACGGGUGAGUAACGCGUGAGCAACCUACCUCUUACAAAGGGAUAGCCUCGGGAAACCGUGAUUAAUACCAUAUGACACAUUCAUAAGGCAUCUUAAGAAUGUUAAAGCUACGGCGGUAAGAGAUGGGCUCGCGUCCCAUUAGCUAGUUGGUGAGGUAACGGCCCACCAAGGCGACGAUGGGUAACCGGCCUGAGAGGGUGAACGGUCACAUUGGAACUGAGACACGGUCCAAACUCCUACGGGAGGCAGCAGUGGGGAAUAUUGCACAAUGGAGGGAACUCUGAUGCAGCGACGCCGCGUGAGCGAUGAAGGAAUUCGUUUCGUAAAGCUCUGUUCUAUGGGAAGAAAAGGACUGUACCAAAGGAGAAAGCCCCGGCUAAAUACGUG
rnacentral:rRNA from 1 species